rnacentral:rRNA from 1 species
GACAGAGGUGCCAAGCGUUAGGCGGAAUCACUGGGCUUAAAGCGUGCGCAGGCGGUUAUGUAAGACAGUUGUGAAAUCCCCGGGCUCAACCUGGGAACUGCAUCUGUGACUGCAUAGCUAGAGUACGGUAGAGGGGAUGGAAUUCCGCGUGUAGCAGUGAAAUGCGUAGAUAUGCGGAGGAACACCGAUGGCGAAGGCAAUCCCCUGGACCUGUACUGACGCUCAUGCACGAAAGGCGUGGGGAGCAAACAGG